rnacentral:rRNA from 1 species
AUGGGCGUGAUUGACAGGCUAAUGACUUUUCUCGAUUCCAUGGAUGGUGGUGCAUGGUCGCACUUAGUUGGUGCAGUGAUUUGUCAGGUUUAUUCCGGUAACGAACGAGACCUCGGCCUUGUAAAUAGCUAUGCUGCUUACAGGGACAUUGGCGGCUACGCCAAGGAAGCUCGAGGCAAUUGCAGAUCUGGAAUGCCCUUAGAUGUCCUGGGUCGCACGCGUGCUACAAUGACGCCACGAACGAGCUUGCGUGAUGAAAGUUACGCAUAAUCAGCAGUCGGCGUCUUAAGGGAUAGUCUCUUGUAACUGUGGGACUCCAACUAGGAAUGUCUCGUAAGCACAAGUCAACAUCUUGUGUUGAUUACGUCCCUGCUCUUUGUACACACCGCCCGUCGCUCCUACCGAUCGAGUGUGUUUUGAAUUUGAUGGACGUAAGGAAGUCAAAAAACCUAGACAGAGAAGAAAUCACAGGGGAAAAGAAUCGAAAAAAAAAAAGCCCG